rnacentral:rRNA from 1 species
UACGAAGGGGGCUAGCGUUGCUCGGAAUUACUGGGCGUAAAGCGCACGUAGGCGGCUUUCUAAGUCGGGGGUGAAAUCCUGGAGCUCAACUCCAGAACUGCCUUCGAUACUGGAAAGCUCGAGUCCGGGAGAGGUGAGUGGAACUGCGAGUGUAGAGGUGAAAUUCGUAGAUAUUCGCAAGAACACCAGUGGCGAAGGCGGCUCACUGGCUCAUUACUGACGCUCAGGCGCGACAGCGUGGGGAUCAAACAGG